rnacentral:rRNA from 1 species
UACAGAGGUCCCGAGCGUUGUUCGGAUUCACUGGGCGUAAAGGGUGCGUAGGUGGUGGGGUAAGUCGGAUGUGAAAGCUCGGAGCUCAACUCCGAAAUGGCAUUGGAAACUACCCUGCUGGAGGUUUGGAGGGGGAGCUGGAAUACUUGGUGUAGCAGUGAAAUGCGUAGAUAUCAAGUGGAACACCAGUGGCGAAGGCGAGUCCCUGGACAAAACCUGACACUGAGGCACGAAAGCUAGGGGAGCAAACAGG